GCCACUCUAAAUAUAGCUGCCCUCCUAGAGAUGCAGGGCCAAGGUGCUUAUUACUGCACUGGAGUGAUCCCCAAGGGAGGGGACAGAGGCCCUGGCGUCCAGGCAAGACCAGAAGGAAUCCUGCGAUGGAGAAAUUGAGUCUGGGACAGAAGCAAGGAUGUGCCCCGGGGCACAUGGAAAAAGGAAAGAAAGGAAGAAAGAGGGAGAGAAGAAAAGAAGUUACCCAAGAAAGCGAUGAAUGUGGGCAACUGGCCUUGUCUUCUGAAACCCUCCAUGACCUCGGUCCCUUCCCAGCUCAAGUUGGGGAGCAGAAAAGAAAUCCAACUGGUUUCAGUUGUUAAGGAUUUGGGACAAGCAGCUAGCUGAUAGAGGCUUUGCCUACUCUCCUAUCCUCACCUUCUUUAAAAUAGCAAUGCCAUUGCCUUUCUUCAUCUCCCUUGGGUAGACCAUUUGCUCCUGUGUUUCUUGAUCAGAGGCACAGAAUGCUGGACAUGGAACAAACAGAACCUAGAGGGAAUUGAAAUAACACAACUCUUUUGUGUUAUAAAUUAGAAAAUCAAGGAAAAAGAGACAGGAAAUGAAUUGUCCAAGGUCUCCCAGCUCAUUUGUCAUGGAGAACAGGACCCAAGUCUUCUGAUUUCAAGUUUAGUGCUCUUUCCAAACUCCAUGACACCCCCUCUAAGGGAGCAACAUUCAUAUUAUAACAUCUAACCUUCCCAUCUCCCUGAGAAGAGGGUAGCUUUGAGAGAAGCAGACCUGGGUUUGAAUCUCACAGCUACUGUACACUAGCUAUGUAACCAGAGGCAAGAAGCCAGACCUUUUACCGUAGCAAUAGCCAUCACUGCAAGCACCUACUUUGUGCCAAGCUCAGAAAAGUUAAGAAACUGGUCCAAGAUGGUAUAAGUGGUAGACCCAGAGUUUGAACCCAGUCUGUCAUAUUCUAAAUCCCAUAAUUUUCCACUGUAGCAUCCUGUUUCUCUAUACCGCAGCUUCCUCAUCUACAAAAUAUGGGAUUACUUUUAAGAAUAAAUGAGAUAAAAAGAACCUAGCUCAGUACUUGACAUGCAGUAGGUGCUCUACUCUUAUUUGGAACAUCGCAUUCUGAAUAUUGUUAUGCCCCAGGUCUCACGAUUUUUAUGAUAUUGCUUAAAAAAUGGUAGCAAUUUCCAGUCAUCAUCACCAUACUCAACAGCCCCUACCUUCCCAGCCUUAGCUUUCCCCUGAUGUGUCCUUUCAAGGCGUUGUGUUCCAGACAUGGAAGAUUUAAGCAGAACAGGUAAGGCAGGAUAGAAACUAAAUCUGCCUGUCUGUGCUGGAAUGCUGAGCAGACAGCUCAGGUCUGGCAGCAGUAGCUACAUCCACUCAUAGGCUAGGGGAACAUAAGGCAACAGGAUAUCCAGGUGCAGAGCCUGACAGAUUUUCCUACCUAGGGGCCGCAGUCCAGGGAUUGAGAGUGAGCAAUGCCUAAGGCAGAGAAACCAUGGCUUCAGAAAGUCCAAAUCACAGGAGUCCAAGCUACCAGUUCUGGCAAAAGCCAAAUGAGACUUUAGCUAGGAAGGAAUAAAGCUGGGUAGGAAGAUCACCAGAAAAAGAACAUAAAAACCAGGAUUAAAGCAAAAUCCAGUUGAAAGGAAUAGAGAUUAAAAUCGACCUAGCCCUUCUGAACAUGACAGAUGAGUCUUUUUUUUCUCCCCGGAUUAUAAAAAUAAAUAACCCUGCAAUUCUCCUGGCCAUAAAUUUUAGAUACAUCUGCUUAGAGCGAAGGCACCAAAACAUUCGUGGGAAGGAUACCCACCAAAUUCAGAAUAGUGUUUUCCUCCUUAGAAAAUAGGAGGGAAAGAAGGCAGGAGGAAGAGGAAAUAGAAGGUGGGAGCUUUAACUAUGUGCGUUACAUUUAAU